rnacentral:RNase_P_RNA from 1 species
UAAGUAAAUCGCCUUAUCGCUGUCUCGAGAUUUCGAGAUGGAGGAAAGUCCGAACACCAAAGAGCAACAUAGUGGCUAACAGCCAUCAAUCGAAAGAUUAGGACAAGUGCAACAGAAAGCAAGUACAGGUAAUGCUGUAGUGAAACCAGGUAAACUCUAUGUGGUGCAAUGUCAUGUAAACUAGCAUUUAAGUGCUGCUCGCGCAACGCUAGAGGGUAGGCAGCUAAAGGUUGCUGGUAACAGUAACUGUAGAUAAAUGAUAAGGAUCUUUUCUUUUUAAGAAUUCCUUUCUCAAAAAGAAAAGUAUACAGAAUUCGGCUUAUAGAUUUACUUAGUUA